rnacentral:rRNA from 1 species
CUACGGGGUGCUGCAGCUAAGAAUCUUCCGCAAUGGACGAAAGUCUGACGGAGCGACGCCGCGUGGACGAAGAAGGCCGAGAGGUUGUAAAGUCCUUUUAUAAGAGAAGAAUAACGACGGGAGGAAAUGCCCGUUGGAUGACGGUAUCUUAUGAAUAAGCUCCGGCCAAUUACGUGCCAGCAGCCGCGGUAACACGUAAGGAGCGAGCGUUGUUCGGAAUUAUUGGGCGUAAAGGGCUUGUAGGCGGUCUAUUAAGUCUGGAGUAAAAACCCACAGCUUAACUGUGGAUCUGCUUUGGAAACUGGUAGACUUGAAUCCGUGAGAGGAAACUGGAAUUCCUGGUGUAGGGGUGAAAUCUGCUGAUAUCAGGAAGAACACCUGAGGCGAAGGCGAGUUUCUGGCACAGGAUUGACGCUGAUGAGCGAAAGCGUAGGGAGCGAACAGGAUUAGAUACCCGUGUAGUC